UGUGGUUUAAUUCGAUGCAACGCGAAGAACCUUACCUACGGUUUGACAUCCGGAAAACCUUCCCGAAAAGGAAGGGUGCCCUUCGGGGAAUUCCGAGACAGGUGUUGCAUGGCUGUCGUCAGCUCGUGCCGUGAGGUGUGGGUUAAGUCCCGCAACGAGCGCAACCCUAUUGCCAGUUGCUACCAGGUAAUGCUGGGCACUCUGGUGAGACUGCCCCGGUUAACGGGGAGGAAGGUGGGGACGACGUCAAGUCAUCAUGGCCCUUACGCCUAGGGCUACACACGUACUACAAUGGCGCAUACAAAGGGCAGCGAUACCGCGAGGUGGAGCCAAUCCCAAAAAGUGCGUCCCAGUCCGGAUUGCAGUCUGCAACUCGACUGCAUGAAGUUGGAAUCGCUAGUAAUUCGAGAUCAGCAUGCUCGGGUGAAUGCGUUCCCGGGCCUU
rnacentral:rRNA from 1 species